rnacentral:sRNA from 1 species
UGUACCGAAAGUCUUCACCAACUGGGAUUUCAUUCAGCAACCAACCCAAUUGCCACAGAUUAUCGCAAAUGCGUUGAUGCGAAAAUGUUAUACCUAAUACAAAUUGGGAUAUGAAAUACUGCGUGACUAAUUCCUUGCUAAUUGGAACCUUUAUGAUUUUCAUUUGUUCGUUGCGGUUAUUAGCUCUAAUAAUUGUAUAAUAUUGUCCAAAGUGAAUGUCAAGGUAUUGUAAUCAUAGGUUGUUUGAUCUGUUCUACUAAAUGUCCGCCGAUUGUGCAAAUAUCUACGAAUCAGCUUUCAAGUGCUAAUAGGUAGUGUAAUCCAACUUGGAUAACCAGCUUGCUAUUUCCAUAUCUCAUCAUGCAUCAGAGUAUCAGUAAUAUUUGGGACUCUCAGCUGGACGAGUCGAAAUGGAUGCACUUCUGAAAAUUGUUUUGUUGAUCAGCUUAUAUUUUAUUGCUUUAAACCUGCACCUGGGAUUGUGUGACGAUGUACCUUCCGCCGAGGCAGACACGGUUGUAACUGAGAGUGAAGAGCACUACACUGCAUCCGAUGACUUUGACUAUUAAGGGGGGGGUAGGGUUUUAAAGGGAGAAAAAAACAGGUUUUUACAGAUUUUUU